CCAAACCCCAGGACCCCGUUUCCAACCAGACUGCGUCCAGAAGCCGCCACUGACACCCCCUGGUUCAUUGUUCUACUCAGAUGGGUCCCCCAUGCAGGGGGCCGAAAAAUCCGAGGGUGUCCGGGCUGGCCCGCUGGGUCUCAGCCACUAACGCACCUCGCGGCUCCCUCCCAGAUCCCGCCGGGCCACCCACCCGGCCUGGGCUCAGGGCCUCCGGCAUCCCCUUCUAGCACCUCGCUGCCUCGCCAGUACUUGCCCUGGCUGCACUCCAGAGUUGGGGGCCUUCGAGCCUGACGGAGGCGGCAGGACGGCUGCCACCCCGGAGGAGGUGUGGAUGCUGCCGUCCCCGCGGUGCACAGGGCCCAGCCGCCUGGGGUUGCCAGGGCAAGGCCACCAAGGCCGCUCCUGGGAGGGCAUCAGGGUGGUGACUUCCCUUAACUUGGUCGCUUAUUUUUCCAGGAGAAAUAUGUCUCCUCCCCAAGGUUCCCUAGGACCUGAGGCUCUUCUGCCUCUGGUUGGGAUAUUUAAGCGACUGGCAACCUUCCCUGGGAAACAUCUUUUGGACGGAACACAAAUAGGCCAGAGCAAGUGUUUUGAGUCGAACCAGUUCCUCCCGUGGCCCCCCCUCACCUCUCCUCCAAGCCUACUCAUCUGGUUCUUUGAGGGGAAAAAAAAAAAUCUGAAUUUUUAUCCAAUUCUGAUGUUUCCCUUAAGCACUAUCGCAGUCCUCACUCGCAGAAGGCCACACAGGCUGCAGGGCUGCUUGGGGCGCUGCCUGCUAGGAGGGCAGUUCUGGAGGAGCAAGCUCUGGGCAAGGGGAAGAAAGCCCUAAGUCCCUGAGGUCCCACGCCAAGCAGAAGUGCUUCUGGAUCUGGCAUCUGCAGACCAGGGGUCAUGGCUUGAGAUUCUCCUGACAAAUCACUCCUCUGUGACGUCCCGGAGAAGAGCAAGGUGCGCGCAUGUUUUUUCCCCCCUGCGACUGAUGCCCGAACAAUGGGUGUCCACCUACCGGAAGGGUGGCGCCUGCUGGCCUAGAGCACACCCUCAGAAGGUGGAUUCCUGGGGAAAGUGAUGAAGGAUUUCUUCCCAGCUGACAAAACAACGUGGAGUGCAUUGGCGGGACCCUUCACUCGGGGCUGGCAUCGAGGGCUGUCUCUUUGGAUUGGGGGCCACGCCGCUUCUUUGCUCUCAGAGUGCACAGGAGAGAAAAUGAUCAGGACGGAGCUGGUUUGAGUGAUAAAAAGAGCCGCGGGCUGAACAAAUGGAGGGUCUAGCCCUCAAAAUCAAAAGAGACUGAGUUAACCGCUUGGAGAGGUGGCAUUGUUGAUUGUAAGAGGAACCGGGACUGGAAGGCCUCAGCUACCUUGUGGGCAACGGCCCCUGGAGGAUGAAAAGGCAGAGGAUGUCCCCGAUCGGCAGUGGCCCGAGGUUGUAAAUACAGUCCGGACACGAGUCCUUUUUCAGGGGCAAGUUUGGGACCUGAGUGACCAUCUGGACCUUCGUUCAUUUCUCAGAGCCUUUGGUAUGUUGCUUGAGGUCCGUCCCACGCGUACACGGUUAGAGACGGCAUACAGGUGCGUCCACCCCUUUCUGUGAUCUAUUUCUGAAAGCUCCAUCCACUCCAUGACUCCCCCGAGACCCCCAGGUCUCUGGAUUCCCUUUCUUGCUCCUGGAGCUAGGAAGGUGAGGUUUUAGCUUCUCAGCAUGGUUGUGCAUUUCCUGUGACCGGGUCUGGCUCCGAAGUGUAGCAUCAAGAGGGAAGGGAGAAAACGACACCAUCAGGAUUCCCUCUUGCCUUUUCAUCCUCCUGGUCACAAAGCAGGAUGUUCUGUCAGUCGUAGGCACGUUUACGGCUGCUGCCAAUGCCAUCACAAGCAUACAGCUUUGGGACAUUUGCCCGGGCAGGACACACAGAGAAAGAAAAGAAAAACAACAACAACCAGGGGGGGCUCCUCACUCUGUUCUCUGGCCAUAAAGAGGUGGCUUCUCUUGGGCCUUUUCCCCUUGGCGACCGCUGAGCGAUUCUGGGACUUGACCUUUCUCCCAAGUGUAAGCCGGGGGAUACGGGAGCGAAGAAGCAACUGGGGGAACUCAUGGCCCCGUCCAUGACUCUGAGGGUCGACCCUCCCUCCAUCCGCCUGCUAUGGUUUCCUUUUUAGACUGCUGACUGUGUUAUGCAUCCCGUCCGGGGUUCUUAGUUGUAAUCACUGGGAGAGAGAGAGUGGUGUGCAUGUUCCCUCUUAACCAGGGCCACAAGGCUGCUUGAUGUCCAACUGGAAGGGGCCUUUUAGACUUAUUUCCAUGUGAAAACAUGCCGAGUAAGACUGCAAGAUUAGCGCGAACAUUCCAGAUACGGCUCACGUCUUUGAGAGCGUUUAGGCUCGUAGGGGGCUGCGUCCCCUCCGUUCCGAGAGAAGACAAGACGAAAAGAGGGUGCUCUCGCUGGUACAGACCCCACGGCUCCCUGUGGGAUCCACUAGCCUUUCAGAAGGCUGCGGGCCCCCUUUCCUCAUAAAGACUUUUCUUCAGAGAUUCUCUGCCUCUCUCCUUUUCCCUGAUGCCUGGUCCCGUCGGAAGUUCCACCCAGACUUAACCAGUCCUGGAAAACAGCAGAAAGUACCCCUGCCUGCAUGGAACAUGGCAUCUGGUGGGACCUUUCCUCUCUCCGGCAUAACUGUCGGAGAGACAGAUGUCAGCGGGAACUUCAUCUCCCUGACGUCUUUGCCCCGGGCUUGAAGAGCAUCUCUUGCCGUAACAGUGUAUUCAAGUUAUGUUUUCAGAUGCGAUUUCUUGGGGGAAAAUGUCGUUUUGUUGUACAGAUGCUUCUUGUUGGAGAACAGGGACGAGGUAGGGGAUGCUAAGGGCUGACAGGUGCACCCUCGGGGCGGAGGUGGGAGUGAUGGCCCCCUGAUGACUUGGCGCUGAGACCCAGUAAGGGCAGAGGGAAAGGAAGGGAGAGAGCAAAGGAGACAGGGAAGAUAAGGCGGCAGAGGACUCCCGGAGGCUGACUCUGUAGGGACCGAAUGAAACACAAAAUAGCGAACACUUUGCCUUGUAUUGGUGACCAGCCGCCAGGGAGCACGUAGUACCCGAUGACCUUCACGAGCAGCCCAUGUACCUGGAAGCGGAGUAGGUUUUCCAGGAGUGAAGAAUUGCCUCGUUUUCGUUCUCAUCUUGUUGAAUGUUGUUGAUGGGCGAGGUGAAGAGACACCCGUACCUCUUCUCAAGCUACUCUCGGCUUCUGAAUAUUACAGGCAAGUCUUUGCCUGUUGUUUUCUUUUUUAUGCCCGGUGGUCUAGGGCUCGGAAAGACCCUGCCAACUCCACGGCCUGCUGCUGCUCCCGGAACCUUGCCCUGGAAGGUGACCACGGCAACGGGCACCUCGAUUCCUGCGGUCAUUUCCGUGAGACGGCUACUUCUGAGCACUGGGGCUGUAAUUUGAAAUCAGAUAAUCUUAGGUGUUGGACCUUUGGCUGCCUUUAAUAUCUGGUGCCAUUUUGUGGACUCUCCUAAUGGUAGAAUUCAAGGUUUGUCUCAAGUUUCUAUCUGUUGCUUGCCCCACAUCGGCUCAUUGUGACUGUUUAAAAGCUGCCAUUUCUGUUCUUAUCUUUAGAUGUCAAAGGAUGCCUUGCCCUCAGCUCUCCAUUUGCUGUGUCCUCUCUUUCUCUGCCUUCAGACCGUUAGCAUCACUUGCACUUGGGUCAUGUAGAAAGCCACAUGCGUGGGAGGAGCUGGUGUUGUGAAGACAAGAGAAAGAAAAGCCCACCCUUCUUUUGUUCAGUGGUUCUUGUUGUGGAAACACUUGUCCUGAAAGCUGCCAAGAAACAAAAAUGGCGGGGGGAGAAGACAGGAGACGGGGAGGAGGCUGAUCCCCUGAACAAUACAGGAAAAUGGUCAGCCACAGGAGAAGGAAAGGAAUAAAAAAAUUCCUGGGGUGUGGAAUUUGUGGGGGGAGGGGACCGACCCAGAUGUGGUUGGCUGGGGUAAGCCUCAGGGAAGCAGGAAGGGAUGGAGGGAAUUUUCCACAGUCAACAACGGGCCUUCUUGUGAGGGGUGAAGUAGGGAUUACCUGGUUUAUUGCCCAGGUCUCUGGGUUUAGUGGUGGUCGGCAAGAAGGAAAGAUCAGUUAUAGACCUUAAAUGGGGGUUUCUUAGUCUUGGCUGAAGACUUGACUAACUUGGGGAACUGAAAACAAUUCCUGGGCUCUACUCCCAGACCAGUGCUUCUUGAACUCUACUGUGCAUUAGAAUGAUCUGAAACUCUUGUUGAAAUACAGAUUCUGGUGAGUUAGGUCACAGGUAGGGCUGAAAUCCCGUACGUCGAACAAGCACCCGUUGAUGCUGUUGCUGCUGGCUCAAGCAUCAUACUUUGAGCAGCAAGGAUCCAGAACAAUUAAAUCAUAAUCUCUUGGGGGUGGGUCCCAGCCAUGGAUGUUUUUAAAAUUCCCCAGACUUUCAGGGUUGAGACCCAUUGCUCUGGAGCCUAAUAAAAGAAAAGAAUGCAAGGACUUGGAGGGGCGGCCAUGAUGAAAGUUGGCCUUUCUGUGAGGAUGUGGCAGAUAGAGAGUGAGUUAGAAGGAUCUGGCAGCUGGCUUGGAGGAGUCACAGAUAAUUCAUCACAGCAGGUGGCAGUGGCUUCAGGGUACUUGUGGGUUCAAGGUACUCUCAGCUAAGUCCGCGUCAAGGACUUCUGACACGAGUGUGUCUCUUGGUGGUGGGAGAGUGAGUCACGAAGCUUCCUGAGUUCUGGUCCUAUUACUCGGGUUCUUUUUUAGAGACAACCCCAAGGGCUUUUUUUUUUUUAAACUUCAAAGACUUCACCUCAAUCCUCAAAAUGGCCCUGUCAGGUCUCAGUCGUAUGUUUGGAGUGGUUUUUACCUGAUGGAAGAAGAAACCAUAUCCAGAGCUGUCAACUUAGAACUUAGACUCGAAGCAGAAUUGAAAUGAAAACACUUUGGAGGGAGAAGGAAAUAAAGACAAAACUGAAAACUGAACAGAUAUGGCUAUUUGGGGGGUCAUUUUGUAGCCCAUCAAAUGUCCACCUAACUUCUUGGUCUGUUCAUCUAUUUCCGGGCUGCUAUUGGCCUUGCACACCUAUUGCUUUCUUCAAGCGAUUGAAACAACUGGCUUGGAUAUUAUUUGACUUGCUGCGUGGGCCCUACUGUCCCUCCUCUGGAAGCCAGAAUUUACCCGCCUUGCAGCAUAUCCUCGGGCCCUAUAACUCAUUCUGAUUUUGAUUGCCCUGUCGUUCUGUGACUUUGGAUAAUAGGCCAUUAUUCUAGGAAUUGCCAUUAUAUUCUAUUAAUAAGAGCCGGGAGAAUUUAUAACAGCAAAACGUGAAAAGAUUUGCAAGUGGAGCCCUCGUAUGUCUUGUAAAAUACGACUCCGUCGGCCAUCCCACGUGAUGGAUGAAGACAGCGCACGCUUCCUUCCUGCUUCCCUCCCUGAGCGGCCAGACCUUGGUCCUGGUGACCUUUGACCGAGCCUGGCUCGGGGCCUCCCUGAAGGGGACGUGUGUGGGAUGGGCGUGUGACACACAGGACUUCGAGUGGCGUGGCCACUCACACCUGCUGCUGGGAUCAUGGUCAAAACUCCAAACAAGGGCCUCUGAAGGAGAAGGCUGUAGACAUCUCUCAAUAUUUUUCAUGGCGUUGCCCCUGAUGAUCCAGAAAAUAGCUGCUUCUCAUCACAGACGUCUUUGGGACGUCGUGAAAAGGGAAGCGUUAAAGCCAUGUGCUAUUUAGAGGCAAUCCCAAAGCUCACAUGUUGGCACAUUUCCUCUCGGUUUAUAUUCUUGUGAAGCUUUUUUUCUUUAUAUGGUUACGUUCAUUCUAUCUACACGAUUCUGUAGGCUCUUCUGCUUCGUAUGGCAUUGCACGAACCCAAAUCAUUAACCCUUCCCAACUAGCAUUUUAGGCAGCUGCGUCAGUGUGCUAGCAUCUAGUCAAGUAAUGCUUUACUUACCCCUGUGCAUAGUCGCCAUCUGUCAGGAGGGACCUGUUCCCCGAAAGCACUGUGCUCGGGGAAACUCCCAUCAGUCACCCGGGUCAGACUCCGGCUCUAGAUUUGUGGCCAAAUCCCGCAUGUAGUUGUGGGUAACAUGGGACUCGUAUAAUUAGUGAUGCCGAGUGGCUGUAUUUUUGAAAGAAGAUCAUUGCCAUGAGGCAUCGGCACACAGUAAGUGCUUUUUAAAUCCGAACAAAUCCAUGGCACCAGAAUUGUGUCUUCGCGUUUGCUGUUCCCUCUAUGUGGAACGCUCCCCCACCCUGGGAAUCUGCUUAGAAAUGUACUUCGGUUUUCUGUAUUAGAAAAGCUUCUCAGGACACUCAAUACACAGAGGUAAUGACCCCCUCGUUCCUACUUCUGCUUUGCUUUUUGUCGUAAACCUUACCACCACCUGGUAUG